CUACGGAGGGUGCAAGCGUUGUUCGGAAUUACUGGGCGUCAAGCGCGUGUAGGCGGUUUGGUAAGUCAGAUGUGAAAGCCCUGGGCUCAACCCGGGAAGUGCAUUUGAAACUGCCUUUCUUGAGUAUGGGAGAGGAGAGUGGAAUUCCCAGUGUAGAGGUGAAAUUCGUAGAUAUUGGGAGGAACACCGGUGGCGAAGGCGGCUCUCUGGAACGAUACUGACGCUGAGACCCGAAAGCGUGGGGAGCAAACAGGAUUAGAAACCCGGGUAGUCC
rnacentral:rRNA from 1 species